CAUAUCAAUAAGCGGAGGAAAAGAAACUAACAAGGAUUCCCCUAGUAACGGCGAGUGAAGCGGGAUGAGCUCAAAUUUGAAAUCUGGCUGGUUUACUAGUCCGAGUUGUAAUUUAAAGAAGCGUUUUCGGUGGCAGCCUGGGUAUAAAUCCUUUGGAAUAGGGUAUCAUAGAGGGUGAGAAUCCCGUCUUUGACCUAGUGCAUGCUACUAUGUGAUACGUUUUCAAAGAGUCGAGUUGUUUGGGAAUGCAGCUCAAAAUGGGUGGUAAAUUUCAUCUAAAGCUAAAUAUUGGCGAGAGACCGAUAGCGAACAAGUACCGUGAGGGAAAGAUGAAAAGAACUUUGAAAAGAGAGUUAAACAGUGCGUGAAAUUGUUGAAAGGGAAACGUUUGACACCAGUCAUGUGGGUGGAAAAUCAGUCUUUUGCAUUGGGGAGUUGUAAAGGUUCGGACCGCAAGGCCGGCUUUUGCUUCAUCUUUGGUGUAAGGGAUGCACUUUUUCAUCUACAGGUCAACAUCAGUUUCUUUUGCUGGACAAAACUCUGAGAGAAGGUAGCAGCUUAGGCUGUGUUAUAGCUCUGGAGCGAUACAGUGAAGGGGACUGAGGUUUUCGCAGCGUGUGCUCUCGGGCAAGGCUGGAUGGGUGCUAUGGGAUCGUUCGGGGUACAAUGCCUGGCAUUUUGCUUCGUGUCUUUUCUAUACUCGCU
rnacentral:rRNA from 1 species